rnacentral:rRNA from 1 species
CGGAACGGGUGAGUAACGCGUGAGGAACCUGCCUCAAAGAGGGGGACAACAGUUGGAAACGACUGCUAAUACCGCAUAAGCCCACGGCUCGGCAUCGAGCAGAGGGAAAAGGAGCAAUCCGCUUUGAGAUGGCCUCGCGUCCGAUUAGCUAGCUGGUGAGGUAACGGCCCACCAAGGCGACGAUCGGUAGCCGGACUGGGAGGUUGAACGGCCACAUUGGGACUGAGACACGGCCCAG